AUUGAACGCUGGCGGUAUGCCUUACACAUGCAAGUCGAACGGUAGAGGGGCAACCCUUGAGAGUGGCGAACGGGUGAGUAAUACAUCGGAACGUGCCCAGUCGUGGGGGAUAACGUAGCGAAAGCUACGCUAAUACCGCAUACGACCUGAGGGUGAAAGCGGGGGAUCGCAAGACCUCGCGCGAUUGGAGCGGCCGAUGGCAGAUUAGGUAGUUGGUGGGGUAAAGGCCUACCAAGCCUGCGAUCUGUAGCUGGUCUGAGAGGACGACCAGCCACACUGGGACUGAGACACGGCCCAGACUCCUACGGGAGGCAGCAGUGGGGAAUUUUGGACAAUGGGCGAAAGCCUGAUCCAGCCAUACCGCGUGCGGGAAGAAGGCCUUCGGGUUGUAAACCGCUUUUGUCAGGGAAGAAAUCUUCUGGGCUAAUACCUCGGGAGGAUGACGGUACCUGAAGAAUAAGCACCGGCUAACUUCGUGCCAGCCGCCGCGGUAAUAC
rnacentral:rRNA from 1 species